GCUUAACACAUGCAAGUCGAACGGACAGUUAUUUAUAGCCUCGGCUAUGAGUAUCUGUUAGUGGCAGACGGGUGAGUAAUGCGUAGGAAUCUGCCUAGUAGUAUGGAAUAGCUAUUAGAAAUGAUAGGUAAUACUGUAUAAUCCCUGCGGGGGAAAGAUUUAUCGCUAUUAGAUGAGCCUACGUUAGAUUAGCUAGUUGGUAAGGUAAUGGCUUACCAAGGCAAUGAUCUAUAGCUGGUCUGAGAGGACGAUCAGCCACACUGGAACUGAGAUACGGUCCAGACUCCUACGGGAGGCAGCAGUGGGGAAUAUUGGACAAUGGG
rnacentral:rRNA from 1 species